rnacentral:rRNA from 1 species
GCCAGCAGCCAUAUCACCCUGGCAACCCACUGAAGCUAAGCAGGUGUGAGCCUGGUCAGUACCUGGAUGGGAGAGCUCCUGGGAAAAACUAACGUUGCUGCUGGAA